UGGGGAAUAUUGGACGAUGGGCGAAAGCCUGAUCCAGCCAUGCCGCGUGUGUGAAGAAGGUCUUCGGAUUGUAAAGCACUUUAAGUUGGGAGGAAGGGCAUUAACCUAAUACGUUAGUGUUUUGACGUUACCGACAGAAUAAGCACCGGCUAACUCUGUGCCAGCAGCCGCGGUAAUACAGAGGGUGCAAGCGUUAAUCGGAAUUACUGGGCGUAAAGCGCGCGUAGGUGGUUUGUUAAGUUGGAUGUGAAAUCCCCGGGCUCAACCUGGGAACUGCAUUCAAAACUGACUGACUAGAGUAUGGUAGAGGGUGGUGGAAUUUCCUGUGUAGCGGUGAAAUGCGUAGAUAUAGGAAGGAACACCAGUGGCGAAGGCGACCACCUGGACUAAUACUGACACUGAGGUGCGAAAGCGUGGGGAGCAAACA
rnacentral:rRNA from 1 species